AUGAAGCAAUUACAGACUCAAAUUUAAUUUGCGUUGGUCGUGCUAUUUCCAUCUUGUGCAAUUUUGGGAUCAUAUGGUAUACAAUUCUUUUCUUGUAUAUAGGUAUAUAAUUAUAGAUGCAGGUUGAGCAUUGUGGUGAUAAGGCAGAAAUGAAAGCCGUUCAUUUGUAGUAAAACAAAUUUUGUAUCCUGUAGAUGAUAUUCGUUGUGCAUUAUUGUUUAUAAACGCA
rnacentral:misc_RNA from 1 species